rnacentral:rRNA from 1 species
GGACUACUAGGGUAUCUAAUCCCGUUCGCUCCCCCAGCUUUCGCGCCUCAGCGUCAAGAAAACCCCAGGAGACCGCCUUCGCCACUGGUGUUCCUACCGAUCUCUACGCAUUUCACCGCUACACCGGUAAUUCCAUCUCCCCCUAGCCUCUUCAAGAGGAAUAGUAUCCACCGACCCUCCGGAGUUGAGCUCCGGGCUUUCACAGCGGACUUACUCCCCCGCCUACGCGCGCUUUACGCCCAGUAACUUCGGACAACGCUCGCCCCCUACGUAUUACCGCGGCGGCUGGCAC